GGUGAACGCUGGCGGUAGGCCUAACACAUGCAAGUCGAACGGCAGCACAGUAAGAGCUUGCUCUUACGGGUGGCGAGUGGCGGACGGGUGAGGAAUACAUCGGAAUCUACUUUUUCGUGGGGGAUAACGUAGGGAAACUUACGCUAAUACCGCAUACGACCUACGGGUGAAAGCAGGGGAUCUUCGGACCUUGCGCGAUUGAAUGAGCCGAUGUCGGAUUAGCUAGUUGGCGGGGUAAAGGCCCACCAAGGCGACGAUCCGUAGCUGGUCUGAGAGGAUGAUCAGCCACACUGGAACUGAGACACGGACCAGACUCCUACGGGAGGCAGCAGUGGGGAAUAUUGGACAAUGGGCGCAAGCCUGAUCCAGCCAUACCGCGUGGGUGAAGAAGGCCUUCGGGUUGUAAAGCCCUUUUGUUGGGAAAGAAAAGCAGCAGGUUAAUACCCCGCUGUUCUGACGGUACCCAAAGAAUAAGCACCGGCUAACUUCGUG
rnacentral:rRNA from 1 species